UACAGAGGUCCCAAGCGUUGUUCGGAUUCAUUGGGCGUAAAGGGUGCGUAGGCGGCGCGGUAAGUCGGGUGUGAAAUCCCGGAGCUUAACUCCGAAACUGCAUUCGAUACUGCCGUGCUUGAGGACUGGAGAGGAGACUGGAAUUUACGGUGUAGCGGUGAAAUGCGUAGAUAUCGUAAGGAAGACCAGUGGCGAAGGCGGGUCUCUGGACAGUUCCUGACGCUGAGGCACGAAGGCCAGGGGAGCAAACGGG
rnacentral:rRNA from 1 species